rnacentral:rRNA from 1 species
UACGUAGGUGGCAAGCGUUGUCCGGAGUUAUUGGGCGUAAAGCGCGCGCAGGCGGUGCGGUAAGUCUCUGGUGAAAGCGCUCGGCUUAACUGGGCGAGGGCCGGGGAGACUGCCACGCUGGAGGGGAGCAGAGGCGAGUGGAAUUCCGGGUGUAGUGGUGAAAUGCGUAGAGAUCCGGGAGGAACACCAGUGGCGAAGGCGGCUCGCUGGGCUCUACCUGACGCUGAGGCGCGAAAGCGUGGGGAGCGAACAGG